rnacentral:lncRNA from 1 species
AGUGACGCAAGAGGCGGGACUCUGCACCACUCGGGAGGUGGCUGAGCUGAAACAGAAAGUAAAGUUGUUCUUUUGUUCAGGAUCCAUUUUGAGACGACAGAGCAGAAAACACUAUAUGGAGACUAUUGAAAAAUAAAGGUGGGGAGGCGGCUGAUUGAAACAGAAAGUAAAGUUGUUCUUUUGUACAGAAUCCAUUUUGAGACGACAGAGCAGAAGACGCUAUAUGGAGAUUACUGACAAAUAAAUUCCUCUGCCAAGUUCUCUGGGUGUGUCUGUCGCUGAACUCAAAGCAGUCCAGAAGACAGCUAGACAUCGAAAAAAUCUUCAAUGAAGUGACAUGUACCCGACAUGUAAGAAGUGGUUACCCUUGAUGUCCAGCAGUCAGUGGAUCCAUUUUGAGACGACAGAGCAGAAGACGCUAUAUGGAGAUUACUGACAAAUAAUGAGGAGCAGCCAAAAACUGAAGCAAGAUUCAGUACAACGUCAUGAGUCACUGCUGUUGAAUGCAUCUGACUGUUGAAUCUCCAACCACCUCAGAGAUCAGUCUCUCCAGUACCCAGUCAUCUGUCCAUGAAGAGCGACUUCUCUAUGGAUCGUCCAAUACAUUUUAGUGAUGGAUCAGGGACCUUUGACCCCAGGUAGUCAGCCUGCCACACAGGCUCCUCGUGGAGUGCAAUGUAAGGCAGGUGGUUAGAGCGUUGGACUAGUAACCAGAAGGUUGCAAAAACGAAUCCCCGAGCUGACAAGGUAAAAAUCUGUCAUUCUGCCCCUGAACAAGGCAGUUAACCCACUGUUGCUAGGCCGUCAUUGGAAAUAAGAAUGUGUUCUUAACUGACUUGCCUAGUUAAACAAAGGUGUAAAAAGAAAUCG